rnacentral:lncRNA from 1 species
GUGGGAUACUCCUAAGCAUGAUGCAGAAUUCAAUAUUCACGAAUUUAAGUUUAUCCAACAACUCAUCCCGCACACUUGAAAAACUCUCGAGCAUAAAACAAUUUGAAAGGUCAAGUUCUUGUAGCAAAUCCAACUUAAGAGGUGGAAUACUUCUGAGAUUGUGACAAUUUUUAACAAGCAUGGUUUUAAGUUUUCCAAGAAACCCGUCAACCACAAGUGGAAAAUUCUCAAGACUAAAACAACAUGAAAGAUCAAGUGUUUCUAGUGAAUCCAACUUGAGAGGUGGAAUACUCCUGAGACUGAAACAGUUUGUAACAAGCAUGGUUUUAAGUUUUCCAAGAUACUCGUCCACCACAAGUGGAAAACUCUCAAGACUAUGACAAUCUGAAAGUUCUAGUGUUUCCAGUGAAUCCAACUUAAGAGGUGGAAUACUUCUGAGAUUGCGACAACAUUUAACAUUCAGGGUUUUAAGUUUUGCAAGAAAUGUGUCCACCACAAGUGGAAAACUCUCAAGAGUAUCACAACAUGAAAGUUCUAGUGUUUCUAGUGAAUCCAACUUGAGAGGUGGAAUACUCUUGAGACUGUGACAAUUUUUAACAAGCAUGGUUUUAAGUUUUCCAAGAUACUCGUCCACCACAAGUGGAAAACUCUCAAGACUAUGACAAUUCGAAAAUUCUAGUGUUUCUAGUGAAUCCAACUUGAGAGGUGGUAUAAUUCUGAGAUUGCGACAACUCUUAACUUUCAAGGUUUUAAGCUUUGCAAGAAAUAUGUCCACCACAAGUGGAAAACUCUCAAGAGUAUCACAACCUGAAAGUUCUAGUGUUUCUAGUGAAUCCAACUUGAGAGGUGGAAUACUUUUGAGAUUGUGACAAUUUUUAACAAGCAUGGUUUUAAGUUUUCCAAGAUACUCGUCCACCACAAGUGGAAAACUCUCAAGACUAUGACAAUCUGAAAGUUCUAGUGUUUCUAGUGAAUCCAACUUGAGAGGUGGAAAACUUCUGAGACUGCGACAGCUUGUAACAAUCAUGGUUUUAAGUUUUCGAAGAUACUCUUCCACCACAAGUGGAAAACUCUCAAGACUAUGACAAAAUGAAAGUUUUAGUGUUUCUAGUGAAUCCAACUUGAGAGGUGUAAUACUCAUGAGACUGCGACAGUUUGUAACAAGCAUGGUUUUAAGUUUUCCAAGAUACUCGUCCACCACAAGUGGAAAACUCUCAAGACAAUGACAAUCUGAAAGUUUUAGUGUUUCCAGGGAAUCCAACUUGAGAG